UACGUAGGGGCCUAGCGUUGUCCGGAAUUAUUGGGCGUAAAGAGCUCGUAGGCGGUUCGGCAAGUCGGAUGUGAAAUCUCCACGCUUAACGUGGAGGGGCCAUUCGAAACUGCCGUGACUCGAGUCCGGUAGGGGAGUGUGGAAUUCCCGGUGUAGCGGUGAAAUGCGCAGAUAUCGGGAGGAACACCAGUAGCGAAGGCGGCGCUCUGGGCCGGUACUGACGCUGAGGAGCGAAAGCGUGGGGAGCGAACAGG
rnacentral:rRNA from 1 species